AUUGUUAAUGCCCUUGUGGCUGUCAUUACUCUCCUUGGAAUUCUAGAGGAGCUUAAAUGGAAGGGGAGGCUGGAGCCAGCCUGGUGCAGAACUUUGACAGUUCGUAUUUUGUCCCAGGGAUCACUUCUUGGGGGAUUAUGGUAUUUGCGCUAAGAGACAAAGUGGACAGAGAGCCAUCUUUAGAGACCUACAGAUCUGGGAUCAAGUUCUGUCUUUGGUAUCACUGGGUGACCCGAGGAUUACAAAGAAGACCAAUAAUAUAACUCUACGUGACUGCUUCCAUGCUGUCUGCCCCAUUAGAUGAAGAGCUCCUUGAGGGCAGGGUGAGUACUUUUAUUUCCUCAUUGCUCAGUACAGUGACUUGCCCUUAGUAAGCACAGAGUAAAUACUUUCAAUUAGAUUUGAUUUGACAUAGUGAAAUAAAAAUGUUAUUCCACCCCCCA
rnacentral:lncRNA from 1 species